rnacentral:rRNA from 1 species
CCCUUAGAUGUUCUGGGCUGCACGCGUGCUACACUGAUAUUGCCAAUAUGUCAUUCUUAUCCGAAAUGGAUUGGGUAAUCAAGUAAUGAAAUUUCAUGCUUGGAAUCGGUAAUUGCAAUUUUAUCGUUAACGAGGAAUUCCUAGUAAGCACUAGUCAUCAGCUAAUGUUGAUUAUGUCCCUGCCCUUUGUACACACCGCCCGUCGCUACUACUGAUUGGGUGUUCAAGUGAGAUGCUUAGACCCUUGUUGCAUGGUUCAUUAUUGUGCUCCGAAAGGAAAAAGUUUCAAGCUUGAGUGUCUAGAGGAAGUAAAAGUCGUAACA